rnacentral:rRNA from 1 species
UGAACGCUGGCGGUAUGCUUAACACAUGCAAGUCGUACGAGAGUUUUUAACUCAAGUGGCGGACGGGUGAGUAACACGUGAGAAUCUGCCUUUAGGAGGGGGAUAACAACUGGAAACGGUUGCUAAUACCCCAUAUGCUUUCGAGUGAAAUGGAUUUUUCCGCCUAGAGAGAAGCUUGCGGCUGAUUAGCUUGUUGGUGAGGUAAUGGCUCACCAAGGCGACGAUCAGUAUCUGGUUUGAGAGGAUGAUCAGACACACUGGAACUGAGACACGGUCCAGACUCCUACGGGAGGCAGCAGUGGGGAAUUUUCCGCAAUGGGCGAAAGCCUGACGGAGCAAUACCGCGUGAGGGAAGACGGCCUAUGGGUUGUAAACCUCUUUUCUCAGGGAGGAACUCAAUGACGUGUACCUGAGGAAUAAGCAUCGGCUAACUCC